GAUUAUUCCUAAUGUUUAAUACAAAACAUGUUGAAAACAUCUGGAACCAGAACCAGUAUUUUCAUCUGGAAAUGUGACAGAUUUUUGCAGCUGACAUAAACUGAAGGAGCUGACACCAGAAACCUUUAUGUGAAUCGAACCUGAAACAAGUAUUUUGCAGCAUGUGAAGGCUGUGAGAUACUGCAAGGAGGAUGCAUCUCCCAAGUUCAGACUGAAGAAUCAAAAGAGUAAACCUAAGGUUAUCUGUUUUAUUUUAAGGGCAACCAAAUAUAAAUGUCAGAAUCCGGGAUUUGUGUAUUUACACAUCCAAAAGACGGGUAUUUAGGAUGUGGAUGUUACAUUUCUGACUGAUCCUGCUGAAUCUGUCUUGCAGCUAAUGUAAAAAAUAAACAAUUUUUUUCUGUUUAUGCAA